rnacentral:sRNA from 1 species
GACGAUCUCCUGGUAGUAGGCGUCGACCCGGAGGAAGGUGAAGCCUGACG